rnacentral:rRNA from 1 species
UACGAAGGGUGCAACCGUUGCUCGGAAUCAUUGGGCGUAAAGCGCACGUAGGCGGCCUGAUAAGUCGGCUGUGAAAUCCCUCGGCUCAACUGAGGACGUGCAUUCGAAACUGCCAGGCUCGAGUAUGGAAGAGGGUCGCGGAAUUCCCGGUGUAGAGGUGAAAUUCGUAGAUAUCGGGAGGAACACCAGUGGCGAAGGCGGCGACCUGGGCCAAUACUGACGCUGAGGUGCGAAAGCGUGGGGAGCAAACAGG